UACGAAGGGGGCUAGCGUUGCUCGGAAUCACUGGGCGUAAAGGGUGCGUAGGCGGGUCUUUAAGUCAGAGGUGAAAUCCCAAGGCUCAACCUUGGAACUGCCUUUGAUACUGGGGAUCUUGAGUCCGGGAGAGGUGAGUGGAACUGCGAGUGUAGAGGUGAAAUUCGUAGAUAUUCGGCGGAACACCAGUGGCGAAGGCGACUCACUGGCCCGAUACUGACGCUGAGGCGCGAAAGCGUGGGGAGCAAACAGG
rnacentral:rRNA from 1 species